rnacentral:rRNA from 1 species
GGCCAGACUCCUACGGGAGGCAGCAGUGGGGAAUAUUGGGCAAUGGGCGCAAGCCUGACCCAGCAACGCCGCGUGAAGGAAGAAGGCCCUCGGGUUGUAAACUUCUUUUAUCAGGGACGAAACAAAUGACGGUACCUGAUGAAUAAGCCACGGCUAACUACGUGCCAGCAGCCGCGGUAAUACGUAGGUGGCAAGCGUUGUCCGGAUUUACUGGGUGUAAAGGGCGUGUAGCCGGGUUGACAAGUCAGAUGUGAAAUCCUGCGGCUUAACCGCAGAACUGCAUUUGAAACUGUUGAUCUUGAGUACUGGAGAGGCAGACGGAAUUCCUAGUGUAGCGGUGAAAUGCGUAGAUAUUAGGAGGAACACCAGUGGCGAAGGCGACUUUCUGGACUGUACCUGACGCUGAGGCGCGAAAGCGUGGGUAGCGAACGGGAUUAGAUACCCUAGUAGC